AUCUCCGCGGCGGAACUCAGGGAAGGAGCUAGCUGGGGCGGGGGUGAUGAUCCAGGCUGGGUUCCAGCAUAGGGCUCUUGGUGGGCACGCUGGGGUCGGGUGGAAUGCAGGAGAGAGAGGAGGUGGGACAGGGAGAUGGUGCUCGUCGUGCACGGCUUCCCGUCCUCCGUGGCCGCCCUUCGGUUUGAGUGGGCUUGGCAGCACCCGCACGCCUCGCGCCGCCUGGCGCACGUGGGGCCUCGCCUGCGAGGAGAGACAGCCUUCGCUUUCCACCUGCGCGUGCUGGCGCACAUGCUGCGCGCACCGCCCUGGGCUCGCCUCCCGCUCACGCUGCGCUGGGUGCGCCCAGACCUCCGCCAGGACCUCUGCCUCCCGCCGCCGCCGCACGUGCCUCUGGCCUUCGGGCCUCCACCGCCCCAGGCCCCGGCCCCAAGGCGCCGCGCAGGUCCCUUUGAUGACGCGGAGCCUGAGCCAGACCAGGGGGAUCCAGGGGCCUGCUGCUCCCUGUGCGCCCAGACCAUCCAGGAUGAAGAGGGGCCCUUGUGUUGCCCCCACCCUGGCUGCCUGCUAAGGGCCCAUGUGAUCUGCCUGGCAGAGGAGUUUCUUCAGGAAGAACCAGGGCAGCUUCUGCCCCUAGAGGGCCAAUGCCCUUGCUGUGAGAAGUCACUGCUUUGGGGAGACCUGAUCUGGCUGUGCCAGAUGGACACUGAGAAAGAAGUAGAAGACUCAGAAUUAGAAGAGGAACAUGGAGCUGAUCCAGGACACCUCCCGCCCGCCACUGGAGUACGUGAAGGGGGUCCCGCUCAUCAAGUACUUUGCAGAGGCACUGGGGCCCCUGCAGAGCUUCCAAGCCCGACCUGAUGACCUGCUCAUCAACACCUACCCCAAGUCUGGCACCACCUGGGUGAGCCAGAUACUGGACAUGAUCUACCAGGGCGGCGACCUAGAGAAGUGUAACCGGGCUCCCAUCUACGUACGGGUGCCCUUCCUUGAGGUCAAUGAUCCAGGGGAACCCUCAGGGCUGGAGACUCUGAAAGACACACCGCCCCCACGGCUCAUCAAGUCACACCUGCCCCUGGCUCUGCUCCCUCAGACUCUGUUGGAUCAGAAGGUCAAGGUGGUCUAUGUUGCCCGAAACCCAAAGGACGUGGCGGUCUCCUACUACCAUUUCCACCGUAUGGAAAAGGCGCACCCUGAGCCUGGGACCUGGGACAGCUUCCUGGAAAAGUUCAUGGCUGGAGAAGGUGGGCUUGACUGGAGGAAGGAGGGUGUGAAGCCGAGGGGUGGUGGCUAUAACGUACAGCAACCCUGUGUCGGUGCCCCCUGCCCGCUUCUCUAGUGUCCUACGGGUCCUGGUACCAGCACGUGCAGGAGUGGUGGGAGCUGAGCCGCACCCACCCUGUUCUCUACCUCUUCUAUGAAGACAUGAAGGAGGUGAGACCGACUGUGAUGCUUCCCCCCAUGUGACACCUGGGGGCAGGCACCUCACAGGGACCCACCAAGGCCACCCAGCCCCGUCCCUGGGCGGCUCCCACAGCAAGCCCGGAUUCCCCAUCCUACCUCCCUGGCCCAGGCCCCCCCACUGCAGCCCCACCUGGCAGCAGGCUCGGCACAGCUUUCAUCUUCUGCACCUGAGUCAGCUGCAUGGGUGGCCACGGAUCAGAUACUUAGUCCUAUUGCUUAUCCUCACCAAAGGGUGUGCCACCCAGGGCCACAGUCAUGGAAGAAGACCAUCCCGGUCCUCACCCAUAGGCGCCAAGCCCUGUUCAUGAUGGGAUCACAGGGCAGAGAUCAAUUCAUUUUACUCCAGAGACUAGGGCCCCAGGGGUUGAGGCUCUUUGGGGUUUCUAGGGGAAGUGGCCAGAUCCCCUCUGAGGUUAGAGAGGGGGACCCGUUUUGUUUUGCUCCACUGAGGAGCCCUCUGCUGCUCAGAACCCCAAAAGGGAGAUUCAAAAGAUCCUGGAGUUUGUGGGGCGCUCCCUGCCAGAGGAGACCAUGGACUUCAUGGUUCAGCACACGUCGUUCAAGGAGAUGAAGAAGAACCCUAUGACCAACUACACCACCGUCCCCCAGGAGCUCAUGGACCACAGCAUCUCCCCCUUCAUGAGGAAAGGCAUGGCUGGGGACUGGAAGACCACCUUCACCGUGGCGCAGAAUGAGCGCUUCGAUGCGGACUAUGCGGAGAAGAUGGCAGGCUGCAGCCUCAGCUUCCGCUCUGAGCUGUGAGAGGGGCUCCUGGAGUCACUGCAGAGGGAGUGUGCGAAUCUACCCUGACCAAUGGGCUCAAGAAUAAAGUAUGAUUUUUGAGUCAGGCACAGUGGCUCAUGUCUGCAAUCCCAGCGAUUUGGGAGGUUGAGCUGGUAGGAUCACAAUAGGCCACGAAUUUGAGACCAGCCUGGUAAAAUAGUGAGACCUCAUCUCUAC
ensembl:lncRNA SLX1B-SULT1A4 SLX1B-SULT1A4 readthrough (NMD candidate)